rnacentral:rRNA from 1 species
UGCCAGCAGCCGCGGUAAUACGGAGGGGGUUAGCGUUGUUCGGAAUUACUGGGCGUAAGGCGCGUGUAGGCGGCCUUUUAAGUCGACUGUGAAAGCCCAUGGCUCAACCAUGGAAGUGCGGUCGAUACUGAAAGGCUCGAGUCCCGGAGAGGGUGGUGGAAUUCUCAGUGUAGAGGUGAAAUUCGUAGAUAUUGGGAGGAACACCGGUGGCGAAGGCGGCCACCUGGACGGGUACUGACGCUGAGACGCGAAAGCGUGGGGAGCAAACAGGAUUAGAUA